CGGCAAGGAGCUCGCCAAAGUAGCGGCAGUCCAGCUGGUCAUUAUUCUCCUGAGAGCAAUUCACCUAACAGAAGAUAAGCAACAAGAUCAUAAUUGAGUUCCAUUCUUCAGGUUGAAAGCUGAACAUGAAAAUGCUGCAAUCAUCGGUCACAGAAACUGGGAUUAUUUCACAAGGGCUGCUGGUCUGUGUCUGUUGGCACUGGUAAGUGACUUGGGACUGCUCAGACGGCUGGCAGGGCUGGAUAACAUGGCACUGAUUGGAUUGCUGGGGAAUCUGACACUGGUGGGAAAAUUGAUACUGUUUCUCCUAAGACAGAAAUGUAUUUUUUAAGCUUCUGAACACAAUGAGAUGGAAGCAUCAUAUGAAUACAUAAAUGAAAGAAAUAUGUUUUUGCAUGGAAAGACUGAUGACAGUUUUAAAUAUCUUUUAAUAAUUUGAAUAAAAUUGUUUUCGUAGUUGAA